rnacentral:rRNA from 1 species
UAAUACGUAGGGGGCAAGCGUUGUCCGGAAUCAUUGGGCGUAAAGCGCGUGUAGGCGGCCAGGUAAGUCCGUUCUGAAAGCCCGGGGCUCAACCCCGGGAGGCGGAUGGAUACUGCUUGGCUCGAGUCCGGAAGAGGCGAGUGGAAUUCCCGGUGUAGCGGUGAAAUGCGCAGAUAUCGGGAGGAACACCAAUGGCGAAGGCAGCUCGCUGGGACGGUACUGACGCUGAGACGCGAAAGCGUGGGGAGCAAACA